rnacentral:rRNA from 1 species
CGCGUUGGAUUAGCCAGUUGGCAGUGUAACGGCCUACCAAAGCGACGAUCCAUAGCCGGCCUGAGAGGGUGAACGGCCACAUUGGGACUGAGACACGGCCCAGACUCCUACGGGAGGCAGCAGUGGGGAAUAUUGCACAAUGGGGGAAACCCUGAUGCAGCGACGCCGCGUGAAGGAAGAAGUAUUUCGGUAUGUAAAGCUCUAUCAGCAGGGAAGAAACUGACGGUACCUGACUAAGAAGCACCGGCUAAAUAC